GUGCUUGCUUCGGCAGCACAUACACCAAAACUGUAAUGAUAGAGAGAUUAGCAUGGCCCCUGUGCAAGGAUGACAAGCAAAUUCGUGAAACGUUCCAUAUUUUA